rnacentral:rRNA from 1 species
CCUACGGGGCGCACCAGUAGGGAAUCUUCGGCAAUGGACGAAAGUCUGACCGAGCAACGCCGCGUGAGUAAAGAAGGUUUUCGGAUCGUAAAACUCUGUUGUUAGAGAAGAACAAGUAGGAGAGUAACUGCUCUUACCUUGACGGUAUCCAACCAGAAAGCCACGGCUAACUACGUGCCAGCAGCCGCGGUAAUACGUAGGUGGCAAGCGUUAUCCGGAUUUAUUGGGCGUAAAGCGAGCGCAGGCGGUCUUUUAAGUCUGAUGUGAAAGCCCUCGGCUCAACCGAGGAAGGUCAUUGGAAACUGAAGGACUUGAGUGCAGAAGAGGAGAGUGGAAUUCCAUGCGUAGCGGUGAAAUGCGUAGAUAUAUGGAGGAACACCAGUGGCGAAGGCGACUCUCUGGUCUGUAACUGACGCUGAGGCCAAAAGCGUGGGGAGCAAACAGGAUUAGAUACCCGUGUAGUC